UGUACAGUCAUAUCAUUGUACAGGUCAUAUCAUUGUACAGUCAUAUCAUUGUACAGUCAUAUCAUUGUACAGGUAUAACAUUGUACAGGUCAUAACAUUG
rnacentral:lncRNA from 1 species